rnacentral:misc_RNA from 1 species
GUGAGUCAUCGAAUCUUUGAACGCACCUUGCGCCCUUCGGUAUUCCGGAGAGCAUGCUUGUUUGAGUGUCGUAUUAAUCCUCAACCCCAACAUCUUUCUUGCCCUUGCGGCUCGAUCGAUCUGUAUUUGGGGGUUGGAUCGUGGCUGUUUUGCCGUUCUCCACAGGACAGCUCGGCCGAAAUGCAGACAAGUGACCGCACCCAAGCGUGUUGAUCGGCUUGAACUCGACGUUGUAAUUGCUUCCUCGUUGAGCUACGAUUUGCGCGUCUGCCUCUCCCGGCGGAACUGGGCUCACUUUGA